CGCACCUUGCACCCUUUGGUAUUCCGAAGGGUAUGCCUGUUUGAGUGUCUUGAAAUUCUCAAAAAAAAAAAAUCUUGCAUUUUGUUUCAGAAUGAAAUGUAGGCUAUAAUUUUUUUUUGGUCAUGAGCGUCUAAAAUUUGCCAGUUUAUAAAACGACUGGCUCGCUUUAAAUGAAUUAGCCGAGCUAUAUUGUAUAAACAGUCUCACACAAGCGUAAUACAUAUUUCGCUUGUUUUGUCUUUCGGGGCAAGGAUCGUUAGAACAACUAAGCAAGGCUGCCUUAAUUUGCUCAACGAAAGUUGUACCAUUUUUUUUUACAUGCCUUAUGAAAAUAAGACAUGUAAUAAAUUCAUCAGACCUCAAAUCAGGUAGGACUACCCGCUGAACUUAA
rnacentral:misc_RNA from 1 species